rnacentral:rRNA from 1 species
UCUGGGAUUAGAUACCCUGUUAUAUAAAAGUAAUUUUAAUAAAAUAAAAUAGUAUUAGUUAUAUUCUUGAAAUUUAAAAAAUUUGGCGGUAUUUUAUUCUAUUUAGAGGAACUUGUUUUUUAAUUGAUAAUCCUCAUUUAAUCUUACUUAAUAAUUUAAUUUAUAUAUCGUCGUCAUCAGAAAAUUUUUAAAAAAAAAUAAUUUUCUAAAAUAUCAAUUUUUAAUUAUGUCAGAUCAAGGUGUAGUUUAUGAUUAAGUUAAAAUGAGUUACAAUAAAUUAAUUUAUAAUGAAUAUAAAUAUGAAAAAUUUGUUGAAGGUGGAUUUAUUAGUAAAAUUAUUAAGUUAAAUAAUUUGAUUUUAGUUUUAAAAUAUGUACAAAUCGCCCGUCACUCUCUGA